GACGAACGCUGGCGGCGUGCUUAACACAUGCCAGUCGAACGGAAAGGCCCUGCUUUUGUGGGGUGCUCGAGUGGCGCAAGGGUGUGUAACACGUGAGUAUCCUGCCCUUGACUUUGGGAUAACUUUAGGAAACUGGGGCUAAUACCGGAUAGGAGCUCCUGCUGCAUGGUGGGGGUUGGAAAGUUUCGGCGGUUGGGGAUGGACUCGCGGCUUAUCAGCUUGUUGGUGGGGUAGUGGCUUACCAAGGCUUUGACGGGUAGCCGGCCUGAGAGGGUGACCGGCCACAUUGGGACUGAGAUACGGCCCAGACUCCUACGGGAGGCAGCAGUGGGGAAUAUUGCACAAUGGGCGGAGGCCUGAUGCAGCAACGCCGCGUGCGGGAUGACGGCCUUCGGGUUGUAAACCGCUUUCGCCUGUGACGAAGCGUGAGUGACGGUAAUGGGUAAAGAAGCACCGGCUAACUACGUG
rnacentral:rRNA from 1 species